rnacentral:rRNA from 1 species
GACGAACGCUGGCGGCGUGCCUAAUACAUGCAGGUCGAGCGGAUGGAAGGAAGCUUGCUUCCUAAAGUCAGCGGCGGACGGGUGAGUAACACGUGGGCAACCUGCCCCUAAGAUCGGGAUAACUUCGGGAAACCGGAGCUAAUACCGGAUAUGAUUAUGUCUCACAUGAGACAUAAUGGAAAGACGGUUUCGGCUGUCACUUAGGGAUGGGCCCGCGGCGCAUUAGCUAGUUGGUGAGGUAACGGCUCACCAAGGCGACGAUGCGUAGCCGACCUGAGAGGGUGAUCGGCCACACUGGGACUGAGACACGGCCCAGACUCCUACGGGAGGCAGCAGUAGGGAAUCUUCCGCAAUGGACGAAAGUCUGACGGAGCAACGCCGCGUGAGUGAAGAAGGUUUUCGGAUCGUAAAACUCUGUUGUUAGGGAAGAACAAGUACCAUAGUAACUGAUGGUACCUUGACGGUACCUAACCAGAAAGCCACGGCUAACUUCGUGCCAGCCGCCGCGGUAAUAC